rnacentral:rRNA from 1 species
GUCUAUGGCCAUGCCAGCCUGAACAAGCCCGAUGUCUGAUCUUGGAAGCUCAGCAGGGUCAGGCCUGGUUAGUACUUGGAUGGGAGACCACCUAGGAAGACCAGGUGCUGUAAGCA